rnacentral:rRNA from 1 species
UACGUAGGGUGCAAGCGUUAAUCGGAAUUACUGGGCGUAAAGCGUGCGCAGGCGGUUUUGUAAGUCUGUCGUGAAAUCCCCGGGCUCAACCUGGGAAUUGCGAUGGAGACUGCAAGGCUAGAAUCUGGCAGAGGGGGGUAGAAUUCCACGUGUAGCAGUGAAAUGCGUAGAGAUGUGGAGGAACACCGAUGGCGAAGGCAGCCCCCUGGGUCAAGAUUGACGCUCAUGCACGAAAGGCGUGG